UGUACCCAGUGCUUUUGCCUACCAGCGCAUCGCGCAUGCGCGAAAAUUCGGAAUCAAAACAAUAACAAUGAAUUGGUCAAUAGGCAGAUGCUGAUCAGCAGAAAUCACCGUCUGGUUUUCUUUUAUAGAAUAUAUAGUCCCAAUCUCGAGUUUUUAAUACCUCAUAGUGCAUGGCAGAUUGUGCUAAGACUUGAAGAGCCGAUUGUCAUAAGUGUGUAGAUGACUGUUAGAAGAGUGAUUUCAACUACAACUGUUUUGGCUGAAUUUUGGCAUAUUUUCAGUUUGUAUGCUGAAGAAUGAACUAUUGAUAAGUUACACAUUUCUUAUUGACAUAAAUAUUCUGUGUUCAUUAUAAUCAUGCUGGUAUGUAUAGAUUUCUCACAUCUUGUGAAACUGAUAGAGUUAUUAUUUAACAUUUGUGAGCAUUUCAAGGGUGUUUAGUACUGUACUAUUUAAACUAAAUGAAACUUAAACAUUAAGAACAAAUUGCUGAGUCUGUUUAAGCUGUAGAAAAUAUUGUAUGAUCAUUGCAGCUAGUUAGUUUAUAGAUGCAUUCUUUGAAAUGUUAUUGUAAGAAUUGGAUGUUGCCAUUAAUAACAAGUAUAUAAGAUAACAUGUUUUCUUGUGUAUCAAUCUUACUUAUAUGUUGGUUGUUUAUAGUAAGAUUCUAUGCAAUUAAGAUCUAUAAGGCAGGCAAAGCGAGCCACUUUAUGGAUGCCCAGAACAAGGCCACCUCUAACUGGAUGAGAUAUGUGUUCUGUGCAAUGAAGGAGGCAGAUAAGAACCUUGUAGCAUUCCAGUACAAAGGAGGCAUCUCUACUGUACAUUGAAGCUAAUUUCAUCAGGAGAGCAACUGCUGGUCUGGUACGGAGAUGAAUUCGUCAGAGAACUUGACCUUAUCAGAUACGACAACUUUUGCAGUAAUUCCAGUAAAAACAGUGGUCACACACGCAUAAGGAUACAUACAGGAGAGAGACAGUUGAAGUGUGAGGUGUGUGAAUAUGCAUGUAACUAUCAUAGUGACUUUAAGAGACAUAUGAGGAAACAUACAGGAGAUAUACCAUACAAGUGUAAAUUAUGUGGUUAUGCAUUCAAAACAAUCGGUAAUUUGACAGAUCACAUGAGGAUACAUACAAAAGAAAGAUCGUUCACGUGUGAGGUGUGUGAUUAUGCAUGUAAUGAGAGUGGUAACUUGACGAGACACAUGAGGAUACAUACAGAAGAAAGACCGUACAAGUGUGAGGUAUGUGGUUAUGCAUUUAAAACGAGUUGUGACUUGACGAUACAUAUGAGGAUACAUACAGGAGAGAGACCAUACAAGUGUGAGGUGUGUGAUUAUGCAUGUAACAAGAAUGGUAGCUUGAAGAAACACAUGAGGAUACAUACAGGAGAACGACCGUACAAGUGUGAGGUGAACGAUGAAGCACUCAAACAGAGUUGUCACUUUACAGAUCACAUGAGGAUACAUACAGAAGAAAGACCGUUCAAGUGUGAGGCAUGUGGUGAAGCAUUCAAACAGGGUGGUCACUUGACAGAUCACAUAAAGAAACAUACAGGAGAGAGACCGUACACGUGUGAAGUGCGUGGUUAUGCAUGUAACAAUAGUGGUACCUUGAAGACACACAUGCGAACACAUACAGGAGAACGACCCUACAAGUGUGAGUUGUGUGGUUAUGGAUGUAACCGGAAUGGAGACUUGAAGACGCACAUGAGGAUACAUAGAGAAAGUUGUCUUAAAAUAAUUAUACUGUGUGUCAAUGAGUAUAUGUUUAAUAAAUUAAAUGCUAUAACUAA